rnacentral:lncRNA from 1 species
ACCGUCGCCGUCCUCAUUGCCGCCGUCAUCCCACCGACCAGAAAAUGACUUACACCCAAAACCAUCCCUAUCCAAAAAAUUCCUCGUGAUGCUCUCCCGCCGGAGCUCCUCCUCCGCCUCCGCCACUGGGUCAUAAACCUCUCCCAGCGUAUUUUCGAUUGUCAAUUCGGUGACCAGCCCCCUGCGAGCCGCCAGAGAUCCUGGCACCGUCCUGGCCACGAACAGAGGGCGGUGGAGUGCUGAGCACCAGAGGCAGUUGCAAUUGAUAUUUCCCGGCUGGUGCGGCCGGUACGG